GAUGAACGCUGGCGGCGUGCCUAAUACAUGCAAGUCGAACGGAGAUGUUGUAGCAAUACUUCAUCUUAGUGGCGAACGGGUGAGUAACGCGUUGGUGACCUGCCCCGAAGAGGGGGAUAACAGUCCGAAAGGAUUGCUAAUACCCCAUACGGUCAUUUGGAUUAGAUGCCUUAUGACAAAAGGCGUAAGCCACUUCGGGAGGGACCUGCGUCCCAUCAGCUAGUUGGUGAGGUAACGGCCCACCAAGGCUACGACGGGUAGGGGACCUGAGAGGGUGGCCCCCCACAAUGGCACUGAAACACGGGCCAUACACCUACGGGUGGCAG
rnacentral:rRNA from 1 species